CAGGCUUAACACAUGCAAGUCGAGGGGCAUCAGGAAGAAAGCUUGCUUUCUUUGCUGGCGACCGGCGCACGGGUGAGUAACACGUAUCCAACCUGCCCUUUACUCGGGGAUAGCCUUUCGAAAGAAAGAUUAAUACCCGAUAGUAUAAUGAUUCCGCAUGGUUUCAUUAUUAAAGGAUUCCGGUAAAGGAUGGGGAUGCGUUCCAUUAGGUUGUUGGUGAGGUAACGGCUCACCAAGCCUUCGAUGGAUAGGGGUUCUGAGAGGAAGGUCCCCCACAUUGGAACUGAGACACGGUCCAAACUCCUACGGGAGGCAGCAGUGAGGAAUAUUGGUCAAUGGGCGCUAGCCUGAACCAGCCAAGUAGCGUGAAGGAUGAAGGCUCUAUGGGUCGUAAACUUCUUUUAUAUAAGAAUAAAGUGCAGUAUGUAUACUGUUUUGUAUGUAUUAUAUGAAUAAGGAUCGGCUAACUCCGUGCCAGCAGCCGCGGUAAUACGGAGGAUCCGAGCGUUAUCCGGAUUUAUUGGGUUUAAAGGGAGCGUAGGUGGACUGGUAAGUCAGUUGUGAAAGUUUGCGGCUCAACCGUAAAAUUGCAGUUGAUACUGUCAGUCUUGAGUACAGUAGAGGUGGGCGGAAUUCGUGGUGUAGCGGUGAAAUGCUUAGAUAUCACGAAGAACUCCGAUUGCGAAGGCAGCUCACUGGACUGCAACUGACACUGAUGCUCGAAAGUGUGGGUAUCAAACAGGAUUAGAUACCCUGGUAGUCCACACAGUAAACGAUGAAUACUCGCUGUUUGCGAUAUACAGUAAGCGGCCAAGCGAAAGCAUUAAGUAUUCCACCUGGGGAGUACGCCGGCAACGGUGAAACUCAAAGGAAUUGACGGGGGCCCGCACAAGCGGAGGAACAUGUGGUUUAAUUCGAUGAUACGCGAGGAACCUUACCCGGGCUUAAAUUGCAGUGGAAUGAUGUGGAAACAUGUCAGUGAGCAAUCACCGCUGUGAAGGUGCUGCAUGGUUGUCGUCAGCUCGUGCCGUGAGGUGUCGGCUUAAGUGCCAUAACGAGCGCAACCCUUAUCUUUAGUUACUAACAGGUUAUGCUGAGGACUCUAGAGAGACUGCCGUCGUAAGAUGUGAGGAAGGUGGGGAUGACGUCAAAUCAGCACGGCCCUUACGUCCGGGGCUACACACGUGUUACAAUGGGGGGUACAGAAGGCAGCUAGCGGGUGACCGUAUGCUAAUCCCAAAAGCCUCUCUCAGUUCGGAUCGAAGUCUGCAACCCGACUUCGUGAAGCUGGAUUCGCUAGUAAUCGCGCAUCAGCCACGGCGCGGUGAAUACGUUCCCGGGCCUUGUACACACCGCCCGUCAAGCCAUGGGAGCCGGGGGUACCUGAAGUACGUAACCGCAAGGAUCGUCCUAGGGUAAAACUGGUGACUGGGGC
rnacentral:rRNA from 1 species